rnacentral:rRNA from 1 species
ACGGGAGGCAGCAGUGGGGAAUAUUGCACAAUGGGGGAAACCCUGAUGCAGCGACGCCGCGUGAGUGAAGAAGUAUUUCGGUAUGUAAAGCUCUAUCAGCAGGAAAGAAAAUGACGGUACCUGACUAAGAAGCCCCGGCUAACUACGUGCCAGCAGCCGCGGUAAUACGUAGGGGGCAAGCGUUAUCCGGAUUUACUGGGUGUAAAGGGAGCGUAGACGGUAAAGCAAGUCUGAAGUGAAAUGCCAGAGCUCAACUCUGGAACUGCUUUGGAAACUGUUUUACUAGAGUGCAGGAGAGGUAAGUGGAAUUCCUAGUGUAGCGGUGAAAUGCGUAGAUAUUAGGAGGAACACCAGUGGCGAAGGCGGCUUACUGGACUGUAACUGACGUUGAGGCUCGAAAGCGUGGGGAGCAAACAGGAUUAGAUACCCUGGUA